rnacentral:ncRNA from 2 species
CCAAAUCGUUAGGAGUGCCUAAAUAUGGCUGAGAUUAUAUCCUAUGAACCUGAUAUGUUUAACAACAGCGGAGGGAAACGAGGAUUGUAAAUA